ensembl:lncRNA
GGUGUGUAGGCCUCUGUGGCUCAGUUGGCUAAGUCGUGAGUGCUGUGGAGCAGAAGGUGCUUGGAUCAAAACCCAGAAGGAGUGGCGUGGUUGGAGUUUGAGGGAUUGAGAGCAUGGAGGUGAAGGAUUGGGUGAGUGAGUGUCUGGUGCUCUAGCAGUUGUAGGUUGGGAGAUAGGUUGAGGAAGGGGUAGAGGAUUGGGUGAGUGAGUGUCUUGUGCUCUAGCAGUGGUAGGUUGGGAGAUUGGUUGAGGAAGGGGUUGAGGAAGGGGUAGAGGAUUGGGUGAGUGAGUGUCUGGUGCUCUAGCAGUUAUAGGUUGAGGAAGGGGUUGAGGAUUGUCAAGUCACUUGUAGAAGUGGUGGAGUACAGAUGAGGGAUGUUCACUCAAGGGUGAGAGAGGGAGGACUAGGUUGGGUGUAAAAGAGAGGUUGAGUGGGUAUGAGCUCAGGAUGUGGUGGAGCAAGGUUGUGCUGUGAAGGAGGUAGGAGAGUGCACACCCUACAGUGCAGACCAAGAAUGUGUGGUGAGGGGUGUGCACUGGGGGCUGGUGGAGAGGAAGAGCCAGGCCUCACUUUUAUAAAAGGAAAUUACCCUGCUACAGCCCUAAUAGUAAUAAUAUAUUCUUAAAUGGCUUGGGAUCACAGGGUCUACUAAUAGGAAGAAUAAAUGUAAUAUCUACAGCUCCACUGCUGGCUCUCACACACCCCACUUCCUGAGACUCUACCUCUAUUCCUUUCCUACACCUAUCCCCCAGCUCCCUUCCCCUGGGUACACAGCCCCUGACUUUUUAGCCACACUCUCUGUUUGCUCUCCAGGCUGUGCACCCAGCUCUUCUUGGGACUCCACCUCUACCCUCCUCCCUACACCAGCUCCCCUGAGGUACCUGACACUCUACCUCCAACCACCACCUUCCUGCACCCAUCUAGCCUCCACCCACUUACAACUCCUCCUGGAACACCACCUACAACCACCAGAGUACCCUUCCUACACCAUUCACCCCACCACUACCACCACCACUACUACUACUACUACCACUGUAGCCUUCCUACACCCAUCCCCCAGCCUACACACUCCAACCAUCCCCACAUUUUCUAUAAGCCAAGAACUCUUGUUGGGUUUUGAUCCAAGCACCUUCUGAUCCACAGAGGCAACCACUCAACCAGUUGAGCCACAGAGUCUCUCAGAUAGCGCUGCUUCCAUCACACCUUCAUACUGCUUCACACUGCUUUUAUUCUUAAAAGUGCUGCUCCUGCCAAGAGGAGGGUUAGAACCUGCACAAAUAAC